AAUAAAAAUAAAAUAUAAACUUAGGUAAUAAAAGUUUUUUUAAUAAGAUGAGAUAAUGCCAAUUAUGCCAAAAGAUAAAGAUUGCUUUACAAUUACAACUAGGUAGGAAUGUGUACAUUAAAAUAAAGAAAGAAAAAAAAGGAAGGAAGAAAGAAACGGAAUGAAGGAUGAAAAGCAGGCAGGCUGGAAAACAUCUCUUCUAACCAGUUUUCUUUGGCCAGUAGAAUUUGGGGCAAAUAUUUUCAACUCUCAUGAACUUUUAUACUUUCUAAUAUAUUAUUAAUUUUAUACUUAGAAAAACAAGAAAGAAUUUUAUUUUUUAAAUGUAAAAUUGAACUUAACGAAGUAAUCAGCAUCUUUCUGCCAUAUUUUAUUUUAUUCACUUCUCUGCUAUAUCAAGUCUCCAUUUUUAGGCCUAACAUCAAGUUUCUGGGCUCAACCAAGCCACCACUUUAGGGAAAUUUACAUAAAAUUUCUCUACUGAAUUUAUUAUUUCAAUCAGUGACAACAAGACUUUCUAGAAUCCUCCUGUGACUCUAGCAGGGAGCUGAGCAGGAUUAGACCUUGCUCAUCUCCACUCAGCAUUCCAUCUCUGUCUCCAGAGGGGAUGGAAAGCUGCUAUGAGAUCUUGGCACCACUUGCAGACUCUUGUUGUAGUGAAUUUGCUUUUUGGCUUGAACUCCCCUCACAUAUGCUUUCCCUUUCCGCUUUCAAGCAGAGGGCUCCUUGCCUGCACCAGUCUGGAUGUCAGCAGGUGGCCUGCUGGCCUCAAAAGCUUUCUGCAUGAAUUACUGUGUGUGGUUUCUGCACAUUGAAACUUGGCACCCACACAUACACAUACCUCCCUUGCUCCUUUCCCCUCUCCCUGCCCCACUCUGUAUCCAUAGAAGCCAUCCAGAUUUUUGGCUUGAAUAUUGGGCCAAAGCAAGACUUUCCUCAAAGAAUCACCUAGUUUCUGUUUGUUAAGAUACCGUACCUCAUUCCCCUUUCCAGACAAACCAUGCGUUCCCAUCACUUUCCAGCUUGUAGGCUCUCCUUCUCCAUUACAAACUCCAUAUAACCACCAGAAAAAGUGGAUCUGGUCACUCAAUGUCUCUAGAAUCUUCUGUAGCUCCCCUUACAUUCAGAAUUAUGUAUGUAUUUCUUAGGUGGUGAACAAGGUCCUUCAUGAUAGGAUCCCAACUUAUCUACUCAGCCCUCAUCUUUACCACAUAUUUCCCACUUUUUUUCUGUGGCAUAACAUGAGGUUUCUGGACUUUACCUGCUUUCUCACCCAUCUCUGCUUUUCCAUAUGCUGUUCCUUUUGCCUUUGCACUUUUUCCCCUGGCCAAUGCCUCCUUAUCCUUCAAAAGUUCAUUUGAGUGUCAUUUCCACUGGAAAGCCUAUCCUGACUCCACCACCUUCCCCUGUACCCCAAUCCAACUUAAGAUACUCUUGUGCAUUACUCCUACAAAUGAGGAAUAGUAUUUGCCAGUAAUCUCCGUCCUUCACUGGAUUCCAAUGUCCUUGCAGGCAGAGUCAGGGCCUUUUUGUGGUUUUAUUCUAGCACCUAGCCUAGGUUUCAGUAAAUAGCAAGCACUCAAAAAUGUAUCCAGCAAUUCUGCUCAUGGGUAUAAUCCCAAUAUUUGCAAGACAUGUUCAAGAAUGCUUACAAAAGCAUUACUUGAAUUAAUCCCAAACAGAACAUAAUCUAAAUGUCUAAUGUAGAAUGGAUAGUAAAUCAUGUCACUUUAAAUAAAUCCUAUACAACAAUGAGACUGAAUGAAUUACAACUACAUGCAACAACAUGAAUGAAUCUCACAAACAUAAUGUUGAGUGAAAGAAGCCAGACAUAAAAGAGUCAGUGAUGUACAAUUCCAUUCAUACAAGCUCAAAAGCAGGCAAAAGUUGCAUUCAUGGUAUUAGAAAUCAUGACAGUAGUUACCUUGAAGAUAUAGAGUAACUGAUGGGGGCAACUGGGAGCCCAGUAAUGUUCUGUUUCUUGAUCUGGGUGCUGAAUACAUGGACAUUGUUACACUGUAAAAAUUCAUCAAGUUGUAUAUUUAUGAUUUAUGCAUAUGUCUGUAUUUUAUACUUUCAUAAAAAUUUUAAUUGAGAAAAGUUCCCUUUGUGAAACAUAUUUCUCUGUGGCGUUUAGGAUAGUGAUGUAAAUGGAGAGUGUAAGUUUGACUCAAGUCCAUUGCCAGCUUGGCUGAUGCUCUUUUCCCCACUCAGAAUGGUGCUGCAUGGUACAAGAGAAAAGUAAGAGAAAAUCCAUUUUCCUAGACAAAGUUUAGCAUUUGCUUUAAGGAAUGUGAUGGUCAUGGCAGGGAUGGAGUCAGCAAACCAUCAUGGCAUGUAGGUACCUAUACAACAAUCCUGCAGGAUGCAGGAUGUGCACAUGUACCCCAGAGCCCAAAGUACAAUAGGAAAAAAUUAAAAGGAAAAGAAAAGAAAGAAAUGAGAUGGUCAAUUGUGUCAGCAGGUGUUCUUUGCAUAGUUUGACUUCUCAGCUUGAAUUUCAGAAAGUGCAAAUGAUUUUGGAAUAAGUCAGAGUAUAAACAAACAAAUUAGAAUUGGAAUUUUCUUCUUUUCUUGUUAUCUCCAUCCAUCAGCUCUUAAGGCUUCUGUCUUCAAUGGGAAUAGGCUUAUUGGCUUGCACACAUCAAUCAAAUUUGUCACAGACCUCAUUGAUUCACAUUUCACCACUGCAGUUUAAAAUUGGUUUUCCUCUUCUUGCUACAAGAAUUGUCCUUAAUUAUCAAAAUUAAUGACUUUGAGCUGGUGAAGUUUUUUUUGCUUCAAAUUUUAAGAAGCCUAUAAAUAUCAGACUAUGGGAUAUUAAAAAAAUACAUUUUCCCUCUUUAAACAAACAGAUAAAUGUGGAGAAGGAGCCUGGAACUCUUGUCUCUGAGAUGGCGUCAGUCAUCUUGGCGGCUGCCUUCUGCAGCCUGCGCACUGGAGCCAGUCCAGCCAUAGCUGCCAUAACUCGCCGGAUUUCUCUCUCACAUUCCGUAAUAAAGGACUUUCAAUGUCUGCACAGAUGGGAAUUCUGCUGCCACCUUCUCAUUUCACAUUUCCUGCACUUUCUUUCCAAAGCACUCGCCUGCCUGAAAUAGAAUCAUAGUUUUUUUCAGUCUACGUGUAGGAAUUUAGUGGGAGAAUGGACAGGGUAUCUGUAGCUCCCUAUAAUUACCACACCAUGAAGUAAUGAUUUCCUGUUGACUAUAAGGCACUUAAAGGAGGCAGAAAUGUGAUCAGAGGUUUUACAGAGAACUGCACACGAUUUUCUUUCUGGAGAUGGCUGGAAAGGGCCCAUGAAGAGGCAGGAUGUCAGUGUUGACCCCGUGAGCCUUUAGGAAAGAGGAGGCAGCAGUCUUUUCCUGGCCUGCCACCUACUAGACCCCUCAUGAAUCCCCUGCCGUCAUGAGGUCUCUUCCCAAAGGGAUAUCCCCUCAUCCUCUGCCUUUUUAAACUGGAUUCCCACAAGGAUCAAUGUCCGUGUUUCUCUCUGCCUAGUUGAAUUUUCCCUAUCCUUCAAGACUGUCUCAGAUCAUACCUCUUCUGGGAAACCUUCCUGAAUAGCUUGAGCUGGAAGUAAUUUCCCCUAUGUCUGAACACAGAGCCCCUAAUGAUUGCACAUUCUUGUGUUGCCCACACACAAAGAUAAUAUGCAGUAAUAAAAGCUAAUGAAACAAAUGACAUUAACUGAGCACUUACGUGCCAGGCACUAUCUUUUCACUUUACAUGUAUGAAGCCAGAAUUCUUACAGUGACUUUAUGGGGUAGGUUAUAUUAUUAUUCCCAUUUUACAGAUGAGGAUCCUGAGACAUAUCGUGAUAUGAUACCUAAUCAGAUCAGAAGCUCCACUUACCAUCUCUUUGACUUAUUGAUUUGUCUCUUUCACCGCACAAAGCUCAGGGCCUUGCAAUCAGUAAUUGCUUGGCUAAUAUUUGUCUAUUAAUGUGCUCAAUGGAACUUGAGACCAUGAAAGUAGAAUUUGAAAAACAUUUCUGAUGGUCAGAUAUGCUACUUUUCAUCUUCUGUCAACAGGGAAAGACUGUGAAAUGAAAUGGCUGGGGUUGAUAAAAAUCACCAUAACAAAAACAAAUCCUUAGUUAAUAUGCACUGUAUGCCAGAUGCUGUGGUAAGUGAUGUGUGUUCAUUACAUUUCUUAAUCUCAGGUUUUCCCCCACUAAAGGAUCAGAGAGAGAUUGAAAAAUGCUUGCAAUGAGAUCAAAUAAAGAUGAAGGCAAAGGGAAUACAAAUGUUUUAAGUUAGAAAAAUCCUAAGUUUAGUUAUUACCCCAAAAUGAAUGUUCUAAGGAUCCUCCUUUGGUAGUGAGACACAAGUUUGACUCUAAGUUUUCUAGUGUUUAUGGCAAAAGCAGACGCACAAUCAAUUAUAGUACCUACACACUAAGAUAAAGACAAACCAGCUAUUUGAAGGUAGCACUCAUAAAUGUUUAAUCAAACCAUUUCUUCUUACAAUUCUCAACAUAGACCAUUCUCAUCUUGCAGAAGAGCAGAAUGGUAAAAUCCAUUCUAGGAGGAGGCAGAUUAUUGGGCUUCAGUAUGCAGUUGAGUUCGGCUUAAUGUACGAUAUCUAAGAGCUGGAUGGACUGUACAUGUUUCAGAAAAAUUCUCUAUGAAUAUUAUUUCUCAUAACCACUGUGUCAUACUAUCUGUGCCAGACAAUUAUCCUUCCCCUUUCAACUAAAAGCUGCAUAGGUAUUUUGGUAUAACUCUUAUUAACACCUUUAGAAUUAGCAUGCCAGGAAUAAUGUUUGGAAAACCUAGUCCUGUAGGCAAUAUGGAACUUUAAAAACUGACUUUUCCGUGGGGUAAAUGAAAUCCAAACUCCCUUGUAUUAUUUAUGGUACUUUCCACAACCUGAUCUCAACCUGCUUUCUAGACUGAAUUUAUUGUCCUCCUGUUAGCACCUUCGUGCUUCCUUCAAACCAGUCUCAUGAAAACACUCAGUGCUUUUACUCAUUGAAACCUCAUAGACACUUCCUAGAAACCUCUCUUCUCUUUCCCUUCUCCCCUGUUUCUCCACCUAGUGGGUCUUGAAGGAUGUCGCCUUUCCUGCAAACCCCGAUUCCAUCUAACAAUUAAUUUUACCCUUUACUAGAGUCCUACGGCAUCUUGCUAAUAUCACAUUUUAUUAUCCUCCUUUGUUAGCAUCUCUGAUUUUUCUGCCAAACUGUGAGCUCCUCCAGGGUAGAAUGUGUUUUAUUUACCUUUGUAUCUCAGCACUGGGCACAUAGUCUGACCUGGACUCAUUUCACCAAGUAUUUAUUGUUUCCUGCACUGACAAAGCGAGCUGGGACAAUUCUUAUUCUAAGAUGCUGCAUUAAAAACAAAUGUUACUCCACAGGUGACCCACGUAUGUUUCUAUUAUUCUCUGAAGCCGUUUGGUGCUAUGCAGAUUGAUUAAUCCAUAUUAUUUGGUAUAAAAAGGAUAAUGUAGUAAAUGAGUUGAACUACACAUGGAAUGCACUAAACUCUUUUUUUCUCAGUAUUUUCCAGAUUUGAAAAGCUCCAAAGGAAGCUAUACCUGUAUGUUGCCAUUUAUUUCAAGUUUUUUCUCUUUUUGUGUAACAUCUGUCAUGCCAAAGAAUUUUGCUUGUGUUUGGUAUGCGGAUGAAUCACUUCAGCCACCAAUAAAAUGUACAGCCCUUACAAGUAAAACAGAGCAACUAUCCCAGAAGACCUUGACAAUAUUACAGCAGAGCUAAGAGCCACCUGGAACAUCAAAUCAAGAAGCAUCCUUGAAAGGCUCAGAUUUUGAAUUGCAAAGUGAUACCCAAAACAUCUAGCUAUUAUUCAUAGAGCUGGGCAAGAAGAAAUAAAACAAGUGGUGGAUUUUUAAAAGAGAAUUUUGGCUUGCAUCUUUUAUACAUGAGGUGGAUUAUUCUCAAGGAGACAGAAAAAGAAAACUACUUUCUCCGUUCUGGAAGUAUCUGGAUUCAGAUUACAUACAGAUAAGACGAUGCAAAAUCUGAGACUCUCCCUUCGUGGACCACAGGAGCAUCUAAACAAAUCAAGAUCCAGACAAGCCAGUACAUCUUUCUCACUCUCUGUGAGCCAGGUCUGGAAGAAACCUGGUUGUUGGGUCAGGAGGAAUGAAGCAAGCACUGAGUGAAGACCUUGGUUCUGGAGUCAGAGCUUUCAGAGUUAAGUCCUGCCAUGUGAUUUACCAGCCAUGUGACCUCGGACUGUGACUAAGGCAUCACGGGGGUUUGUACACUGUGUGCAGGAAAAGUAACCAAGAAAGAUCAGCCCUAUGAGAUCAUCAGGAAUGACCUAAUGCUCCUCGUUGGACAGACAAGAAAACCCACACUCAGCAAGGUUAUAGGAUCCAGUUUUUUAGGUGGUAGCAACACGCUUAAGGAAGAUGCAGCCCUUCCUCCAGCCUGAGAGAAUGAAGCAUCAUUGGCUUAUAUCAACCAUAGCAAUCCCAUUUCCCUUUUCUCAUGAUUUAUCUGGGAAUGGGCAAGUGACCCAGUCCUGACCAAUGAGACCAAAGAAACAGUCUAUUGGUCAGCUCAUCUCAGAAGAUUUUUGUUUCCUGCUAUGAAGAGAAGCAGUAAGUUUCUUCCUGCCUGACUUAAAUGCAAUUGUGUGCAAACAUGUUACUUGGAGCUACAGCAAUCAUUUCCUGACGGUGAGGCAAUAAACCAAGGACAAAGGAUAGAAUAGUGAAAAGACAGAGUAUUGGGUUUUUGAUGAUAUCAUUCAACUGCUGGACCAAUCUGGAACCACCUGCUUUCAGUCUUUCAUGAUUUGUGAGAUUAUCAAAAAUUGCUAUUGUUUUAGCUGCUA